CGGAUGUGUAUAGCCUGUGUAGUUAAAUGUACUCUGUAUCAUGAAGCUGCUGCCUCCUCCGCCCGCUUCCUCCUGCUCCUCCUCAGAUCCCUCCUCCCACCACCGUCUCCCUCCGGUGCCCGCCUUCCCUCCAGCCAGGGUGAUCCGGCCGGAACGGCUCGUGACACCAAGCUCACAAGGCGAAUGACCAGCCAUCUAUGAAUCUUGAAGACGGUUUGCCACCCCUGUCCAAUCAUGUCAGGGGGCCUUCACAGCACACAUAUAUUUUAGACAAGACAGCGACUUUACCUACACCAAUGAAGAAGAGAGUUCAGGAGAAAGUAGAAGAAAUUGGAUCUAGUUUUCCUAUAUAUGUGAAGAAAAUGACCAAAACCUCUAUUGAAGGCACCAAGAGCAGUAAUAGAGGAAGACGGAAAUGUCCUGUCGUGACUUUUUGCAAGGAAUUUGCUUCGGCAUGGCUCCCCAACAAGAGAACAGAAAUUUUCCUUCAGGUAGAGGGCAAUACGGAGCCAUGGUCUACCAGCUUCAAAGUUGAAGGUGUGGGACGUCCUGACAAAAAGAGUUGGAUUUACAGCGGGUGAAGGAGUUUGUUAAGGACAUUGACAUGAACAUCGAGGAUGUGUGUCUCUUUGAAUUGAAAGAGAAGAAAGGCCGGACAUUGAUGGUCCAUCUGAUUCGGCUGUCAGACAUUUAGAUUUGUGUUUUCUUAUUUAUGUAU